rnacentral:rRNA from 1 species
AGUGAACGCUGGCGGCAGGCCUAACACAUGCAAGUCGAACGGCAGCACAAGAGAGCUUGCUCUCUGGGUGGCGAGUGGCGGACGGGUGAGGAAUGCAUCGGAAUCUGCCCAUUUGUGGGGGAUAACCUCGGGAAACCGGGACUAAUACCGCAUACGACCUACGGGUGAAAGCAGGGGAUCUUCGGACCUUGCGCAGAUGGAUGAGCCGAUGCCGGAUUAGCUAGUUGGAGGGGUAAAGGCCCACCAAGGCGACGAUCCGUAGCUGGUCUGAGAGGAUGAUAAGCCGCACUGGGACUGAGACACGGCCCAGACUCCUACGGGAGGCAGCAGUGGGGAAUAUUGGACAAUGGGCGCAAGCCUGAUCCAGCCAUGCCGCGUGUGUGAAGAAGGCCUUCGGGUUGUAAAGCACUUUUGUUGGGAAAGAAAAGCAGCCGGUUAAUACCCGGUUGUCAUGACGGUACCCAAAGAAUAAGCACCGGCUAACUUCGUG